AAACUCAACCUCAUCAUAUAAAUACUAAAAACAAAAUAAUAAAUAAUAAUUACUAAACUGAAUCUCAAAUUCUAUAAUAUUUUUGCUUGAAAGUAAUAUUAAAACGUAUCUAAAUUAUGGUAUUUUAAGCAAUUUCUCAUUAUAUUUGGAUAUUCUUUUCUAAUGUGUUUUUCAUUUUUUUAAAUUAAAUUCUUAAAACCUUCUGUAUAUAUAUUGUCUAAAAGUUUUGUCAGAAUAUUUACAAAAACUUUCCCUGUUUUGUUUGCUCUAACUUUUUUUACAUUACAAUUUUCGUUCUAAUGCUUGUUUGCUUAGUGUAAAUCUAUAAAGUAAUUCAUAAUCAAAUACCGUGUGAAUAGAUUGGAUAUAAUUUCAGUUUGUUCAUAUCCAAUUUAUUUUGCUGUAUUAACUUAGUUUAAACUUCAUUUUAAGUGUAAUUAUCUCUUCUUUUUAAAACUAUUUAUGUAAACAUUGCAUUAUGACUUACUUUUAAUGUUAACAGAUUUGAUCCACUUUAUUUAUUUCAACACAAAUUGACAUGCAGUCAAACAUUUCGUGUACACACCGAUAUAAACUAACAUUUUUUUAAAACAUAGUUACACUAUCAGGAAUUCUUACUUUCGUGUUAACCGCAAAGACGAUCUUUUGAUACACUUGCAUAUUUUGCAUUCUCUCCUUCUUAACUACUACGUCUACUAUAUAUACUUUCAAGUUUUCUAUUCUCUCCUACUCAAUUACUAUGCAAGUUGACAAAACAAAAAACAUUAAUGUGCAUCAACAUAGUAAAACGUCAGAGUAUUUUCUUUCUUCUAUAUUCACGAGAACU
rnacentral:lncRNA from 1 species